ensembl:snRNA U6 U6 spliceosomal RNA
GUGCUCACUUCAGCAGCACAUAUACUAAAAUUGGAACAACACAGAGAAGAUUAGCAUGGUCCCUCUGCAAGAAUGACAUUCAAAUUUGUGAAGUGUUCCAUAUUUUU